CACAUUCAAGUCGAACGGUGACGAGGACUUCGGUCCUCUGAUCAGUGGCGGACGGGUGAGUAACGCGUGAGCAACCUGCCCUAUAUUGCGGGAUAACAACCGGAAACAGUUGCUAAUACCGCAUGACGUAUUCGGAUCGCAUGUUCUGAAUACCAAAGAAUUUUGAUAUAGGAUUGGCCCGCGGCCCAUUAGCUAGUUGGUGGGGUAAACGGCCCACCAAGGCGACGAUCAGUAGCCGGUCUGAGAGGAUGAACGGCCACAUUGGGACUGAGAUACGGCCCAGACUCCUACGGGAGGCAGCAGUGGGGAAUAUUGGGCAAUGGGGGAAACCCUGACCCAGCAACGCCGCGUGAAGGAAGAGGGCCUUCGGGUUGUAAACUUCUUUUAGCAGGGACGAAGAACGUGACGGUACCUGCAGGAAAAGCAACGGCUAACUACGUG
rnacentral:rRNA from 1 species